rnacentral:rRNA from 1 species
CUACGGGGCGCUGCAGUGAGGAAUAUUGCACAAUGGGGGGAACCCUGAUGCAGCAACGCCGCGUGGAGGAUGACGCAUUUCGGUGUGUAAACUCCUUUUAUAUGUCAAGAAAAUGACGGUAGCAUAUGAAUAAGCACCGGCUAACUCCGUGCCAGCAGCCGCGGUAAUACGGAGGGUGCAAGCGUUACUCGGAAUCACUGGGCGUAAAGGACGCGUAGGCGGGUUGGAAAGUCAGGUGUGAAAUCCUACAGCUUAACUGUAGAACUGCACUUGAAACUUCUAAUCUAGAGUAUGGGAGGGGGGGAGAUGGAAUUAGUGGUGUAGGGGUAAAAUCCGUAGAUAUCACUAGGAAUACCUAAAGCGAAGGCGAUCUCCUGGAACAUUACUGACGCUAAGGCGUGAAAGCGUGGGGAGCAAACAGGAUUAGAUACCCGAGUAGUC